UACGUAGGUGGCAAGCGUUGUCCGGAUUUACUGGGCGUAAAGCGCGCGCAGGCGGACUGAUCAGUCUGGGGUGAAAUCUCACGGCUCAACUGUGAGCGGUCCCUGGAUACUGUCAGUCUUGAGAGACCUAGAGGAGAGCGGAAUUCCCGGUGUAGUGGUGGAAUGCGUAGAUAUCGGGAAGAACACCUAUGGCGAAGGCAGCUCUCUGGGACGGUACUGACGCUGAGACGCGAAAGCGUGGGGAGCGAACAGG
rnacentral:rRNA from 1 species